rnacentral:rRNA from 1 species
UACAGAGGGGGCCAGCGUUAUUCGGAAUUAUUGGGCGUAAAGGGCGCGUGGGCGGCCAUGCGUGUCUUCCGUGAAAUCCCUCGGCUUAACUGAGGACGUGCGGAAGAAACUGCAAGGCUUGAGUCCGGGAGAGGGGGGUGGAAUUCCCAGUGUAGCGGUGAAAUGCGUAGAUAUUGGGAGGAACACCGGUGGCGAAGGCGGCCCCCUGGACCGGUACUGACGCUGAGGCGCGAAAGCGUGGGUAGCAAACGGG